rnacentral:rRNA from 2 species
GACGAACGCUGGCGGCGUGCUUAACACAUGCAAGUCGAACGGGUGCUAUGACGGAAAGACUUCGGUCAGGAAGUUAUAGUUACUAGUGGCGGACGGGUGAGUAACGCGUGAGGAACCUGCCUUUGAGUGGGGAAUAACAACGAGAAAUCGUUGCUAAUACCGCAUAAGACCACGGGAUCGCAUGAUUCUGGGGUCAAAGAUUUAUUGCUCAAAGAUGGCCUCGCGUCCCAUUAGCUAGUUGGUGAGGUAACGGCUCACCAAGGCGACGAUGGGUAGCCGAGCUGAGAGGCUGAUCGGCCACACUGGGACUGAGACACGGCCCAGACUCCUACGGGAGGCAGCAGUGGGGAAUAUUGGGCAAUGGGCGCAAGCCCUGACCCAGCAACGCCGCGUGAAGGAAGAAGGUUUUCGGAUUGUAAACUUCUGUUGUGAGGGACGAAGGACGUGACGGUACCUCAUGAGGAAGCCCCGGGCUAACCUACGUGCCAGCAGCCGCCGCGGUAAC